UACGUAGGGUGCGAGCGUUGUCCGGAAUUAUUGGGCGUAAAGAGCUCGUAGGCGGUUUGUCGCGUCUGCCGUGAAAGUCCGGGGCUUAACCCCGGAUCUGCGGUGGGUACGGGCAGACUAGAGUGCAGUAGGGGAGACUGGAAUUCCUGGUGUAGCGGUGAAAUGCGCAGAUAUCAGGAGGAACACCGGUGGCGAAGGCGGGUCUCUGGGCAACAACUGACGCUGAGGAGCGAAAGCGUGGGGAGCGAACAGG
rnacentral:rRNA from 1 species